GAUGAAGAACGUAGCGAAAUGCGAUAAGUAAUGUGAAUUGCAGAAUUCAGUGAAUCAUCGAAUCUUUGAACGCACAUUGCGCCCUUUGGUAUUCCGAAGGGCAUGCCUGUUCGAGCGUCAUUAUCACCCCUCAAGCCCUCGGCUUGGUGUUGGACGGUUUGGUGGAGGCCCCCUCGGGGGCUCCUGCCCCUCCCAAAGACAAUGACGGCGGCCUCGUUGGACCCCCGGUACACUGAGUUCUUCACGGGACACGUAUCGGACACAUGGGUUUACGGGACACGGUCUGCCUCCCCUCAGGGAGAAUCUUUCUAAGGUUGACCUCGGAUCAGGUAGGACUACCCGCUGAACUUAAGCAUAUCAAUAAGCGGAGGA
rnacentral:misc_RNA from 1 species